AACGAACGCUGGCGGCAGGCCUAACACAUGCAAGUCGAGCGAGGACUUCGGUUCUAGCGGCGGACGGGUGAGUAACGCGUGGGAAUGUGCCCUUCUCUACGGAAUAGCCCUGGGAAACUGGGAGUAAUACCGUAUACGCCCUAUUGGGGAAAGAUUUAUCGGAGAAGGAUCAGCCCGCGUUGGAUUAGGUAGUUGGUGGGGUAAUGGCCUACCAAGCCGACGAUCCAUAGCUGGUUUGAGAGGAUGAUCAGCCACACUGGGACUGAGACACGGCCCAGACUCCUAGGGGAGGCAGCAGGGGGGAAUCUUAAAAAAGGGGGGCAACCCUGAUCGCCCCAGGCGGGGGGAGGGAUGAGGCCCUUGGGGUGGAAAAGCUCUUUAAGUUGGGAAAAUAAGGAGGGUACCAGAAAAAGAAGCCCCGGCAAACCCCGUG
rnacentral:rRNA from 1 species